GUAGUAUUUCAGGUAUGAGUGAGGGAGAUUGCUGGCUAGGACAGGUGCACACCCUCCCAAGGCGAGUCAACUGGCAAGCACAGCAGGACAGAAGACUAAAGAAUUGGGUUCAUCACUGAAUGAAACUAUUGUAAAACCUACCAGGAACAAGGUGUCUGAUGGUCAUUUGUUGGACAAUGUAUCUUCAUCUGUAGGCAACUUUGCCACAAAGGUAAAGGAUGGUUCCAUUCUAAAUGAAAUGUCCACAGGAAUGAGCAGCUUGGCAUCAAAG